AACAAAAUAGCUUAAUUAUAAAGUUUUUAUUUUACACAUAAAAGAUAAGUUUUACUUUUUUGUUA
rnacentral:tRNA from 1 species